GCGAGUGUAGCUCAGUUUGGUCAGAGCGCUGGUCUCCAAAACCAGGCGUCGGAUGUUCGAAUCGUCCCACUCGUGCGA
rnacentral:tRNA from 1 species